rnacentral:misc_RNA from 1 species
AAGUCGUAACAAGGUUUCCGUAGGUGAACCUGCGGAAGGAUCAUUAUUUGAUCUAAAAUCGGAGGUAUUUGCAAAAAUAUCGCCUUUUUGCUUUGUGAACUGUUGUACUGUUGUAUUUUUUUUUUAAAAAGUUGUUGCUUUCUUCGGAAAGCAGAAAUUUAAAGACAACUUUCAGCAAUGGAUCUCUUGGCUCUU